ACAAGUGACAACAGAGUGUCUCAAAAUAAGUCACACGAGAAACAAAACAUCCAGCAUGUGUUGUUUCCAAUUUAGAGUCACCUGACCCCAGAUAAACUUUUAAUACAUGGACAGCCUUUCCAGUUGUUAAUAAAAAUGAGCUGCGGGUGCUGCAGAGAAGCGUGUGAGAACUGCAGGGAGAAUUGCAAUCAUGAAUGUACAUGCAGUUGUCAUCAGAGAGACCAAACUACUGAAUCAUGGAGGACUAAAUGUGGCAGAUUUAUGGAAUGUUCCUAAAUGGUUUAAGCUUAUCCUGAAGCGAACAUAUCUUCACAGCAUUUCCUCUGAAGAAGAAUGAAGAUGAAGAUCAGUCUUUCGUGACUGUAAUGAUUUUGACUGUUCAUUUUAGAAAAAUGCCAACUUAAAUUUGCCUUUAUUUUAUGAAU